rnacentral:sRNA from 1 species
GCUGGGCACAGUGGCACAUGCCUGUAAUCCCAGCGGCUUGGGAGGCUGAGGCAGGAGGAUUGCAAGUUCAAAGCCAGCCUCAGCAAUAGCGAGGUAUAAGCAACUCAGUGAGACCCUGUCUCUA